CUUCCUUCUCUGCAGCCCCGUCCACAGCAUCUGUUGUUUCUGAUGGGACUUCGCGGGCACCUGCAGGAAGGGCGGCUGCUGUGGAUGGUACGUGCUGGACGCCAGGCCAACCCUUUGCACAUGUGAUCUCAUCGACUCUCACAUCGACCGUGGAAGGCAUUUGGGCUUGAGCUUUAGGCCAGUGGUUCAGAACGACCUCCCUGGAACGCUGCAGCUUCCUCAGAGACUCCCCGGCAACCUGGAGAAUGAUAAACCAAAGGAGGUGGCCCCAGCCAGCCGGCGCCCAGCCACACCCUGGGCUCAGACAGGGGAGCUGCACUUCCAUUGGCUGUAUGGUGGACAAACUGAGGCUCAGCACUGAGGUCGGCUGCCAAAGACACACAGCAGCUAAACAGUGGAGCCAGGACAUGGAGCCAGGACAUGAACCCAGGGCCUGUGGCUCCGGAGCCUGCAUUCCCAACCACCCUCCCGGACGGCGCUUCCCAGCUGAAGGCGAGGGCCACAGGCCUGCAGCAGCCGUGAACGCCCACCUGAGGCCCUCCUGGCUGUGGGGCUUCAUGUGCACCAUUGUGAGCGCCCACCCCCUCAGGUGAGGGCGCUGAGGCUCGCCGGGGGUCAAUAGACUGCCCAAGGUCACCCGGAGAGAGAGCACGGAGGCUGGAAUUUGCAUCCAGGCCCUUGACUCUGAAGUCUUUGAAGCACACCCACGAUGCCAGGACGUCAUGUUCCACCUGGACGAUGCACCAAUGAUCAGGAAACACACAGUGGGCCCACACGGGGCUUUCAGGUGCAGGUGACAGAUCUCGUGGAGGACGGCGCAAGCAAGCUGACAGUCACUGGCGGCUAUUGGGUUUGGAAAUAGCUGAGAUGAAAGGAGAGCCGCAAGGAGGGGGUGCCCGCUGGGCAGGCGAGAGGCCUAAAGGGGCUGUGGCUACUGGCGCAGCGAGCAGGAGGCCGAGGAGGGAGAGGACGAGACCCAGGAGAGGAGGGGCGGUGAAGUCAGGGAACAGCAAGGACACGCUCGCCCAGAACGUGGAAAAGACAAACAUCAAAAU
rnacentral:lncRNA from 1 species